UACAGAGGGUGCGAACGUUUGUUCGGAUUUACUGGGCGUAAAGCGCGUGUAGGCGGUCGGGCAAGUCGGAUGUGAAAGCCCAGGGCUCAACCCUGGAAGUGCACUCGAUACUGCUCGGCUAGAGUCCCGGAGAGGAUGGUGGAACUCUCGGUGUAGAGGUGAAAUUCGUAGAUAUCGAGAAGAACACCGGUGGCGAAGGCGGCCAUCUGGACGGUGACUGACGCUGAGACGCGAAAGCGUGGGGAGCAAACAGG
rnacentral:rRNA from 1 species